rnacentral:rRNA from 1 species
GGGCCCGCACAAGCGGUGGAGCAUGUGGUUUAAUUCGAUGAUACGCGAGGAACCUUACCAGGGCUUAAAUGUAGUGGGACAGGUCUAGAGAUAGACCCUUCUUCGGACUCAUUACAAGGUGCUGCAUGGUUGUCGUCAGCUCGUGCCGUGAGGUGUCAGGUUAAGUCCUAUAACGAGCGCAACCCCUAUCGUUAGUUGCCAUCAAGUAAAGUUGGGAACUCUAGCGAAACUGCCGGUGCAAACCGUGAGGAAGGUGGGGAUGACGUCAAAUCAUCACGGCCCUUACGUCCUGGGCUACACACGUGCUACAAUGGCCGGUACAGAGAGCAGCCACUACGCGAGUAGGAGCGAAUCUACAAAACCGGUCUCAGUUCGGAUCGGAGUCUGCAACUCGACUCCGUGAAGCUGGAAUC